GACGAACGCUGGCGACGUGCUUAACACAUGCAAGUCGAACGGUAAGGCCCUUCGGGGUACACGAGUGGCGAACGGGUGAGUAACACGUGGGUGAUCUGCCCUGCACUUCGGGAUAAGCCUGGGAAACUGGGUCUAAUACCGGAUAGGACUCCGGACUGCAUGGUCUGGGGUGGAACGCUUUUGCGGUGUGGGAUGGGCCCGCGGCCUAUCAGCUUGUUGGUGGGGUGAUGGCCUACCAAGGCGACGACGGGUAGCCGGCCUGAGAGGGUGACCGGCCACACUGGGACUGAGAUACGGCCCAGACUCCUACGGGAGGCAGCAGUGGGGAAUAUUGCACAAUGGGCGCAAGCCUGAUGCAGCGACGCCGCGUGAGGGAUGACGGCCUUCGGGUUGUAAACCUCUUUCAGCAUCGACGAAGCGAAAGUGACGGUAGGUGCAGAAGAAGGACCGGCCAACUACGUGCCAGCCGCCGCAGUAA
rnacentral:rRNA from 1 species